rnacentral:rRNA from 1 species
UACGUAGGGUGCAAGCGUUGUCCGGAAUUAUUGGGCGUAAAGAGCUCGUAGGCGGCUUGUCGCGUCGACUGUGAAAACUCGGGGCUCAACUCCGAGCUUGCAGUCGAUACGGGCAGGCUAGAGUUCGGCAGGGGAGACUGGAAUUCCUGGUGUAGCGGUGAAAUGCGCAGAUAUCAGGAGGAACACCGGUGGCGAAGGCGGGUCUCUGGGCCGAUACUGACGCUGAGGAGCGAAAGCGUGGGGAGCGAACAGG